CUCUACUCAGUUCUAUCUGAUGCUAGAACUAGUAAUAAUAGUGCAUUUAAAUAGUUCUAGUCUGAAACGUGAGAUCCUGGUCACUGCUCACAUGUUUGUUUUCUCAGUCCAUUAUUUGGGUAUGGUCAGAAAUUAACCUAGAAGAUACCAGGAACAGCACUGCAAGAGACACAGCAGGAGGCUGGACAGCUCGCUGGAUCUACACCACUGGGGAAUCUGAGGCUUCCUGGGGGAGGUGAGGAGCUGCAGCUCAGUGUCAUCACUACUGCAAUUGAAUGCUCCAGGUACAUGAAGGAAGGCUUGGGAAAUCUUCCCACAGGAUGGUAUCUGUGCCUAAAUCUGAAAGGAAAGUACAAACUAGACAGAGAUUUACAGUUAAUCAUUGAAAUGUUACCUUCGACAAGGUUGUCAACACUGCCAGACAGACACAGCACCUAUCUUUAGCCAGAGAAUGUUCUGGAGCCAUCGAGGAGAUCUAGGGACUACCCAGACUGUGGGUUGCUGUGUUGAUGGUCACCCUCUGGGCAUCCUAGGUGACAACAAUAAGGUGGUGGAAUAUCCAAUCAGCUAGGGCACAUA
rnacentral:lncRNA from 1 species